rnacentral:rRNA from 1 species
CCUACGGGUGGCAGCAGUAGGGAAUUUUCGGCAAUGGGGGGAACCCUGACCGAGCAACGCCGCGUGAACGAAGAAGUUAUUCGUAAUGUAAAGUUCUUUUAACAGGGAAGAAAGAGAAAUUUGACGGUACCUGAAGAAUAAGCUCCGGCAAACUACGUGCCAGCAGCCGGGGUAAUACGUAGGGAGCGAGCGUUAUCCGGAAUUAUUGGGCGAAAAGGGUGGGUAGAUGGAAUAGUAAGUCUUUUGUAAAAAUGCUGGGCUCAACCCAGUAGGGCAAAAGAUACUGCAAAGCUAGAGUAUGACAGAGGCAAGUGGAACUACAUGUGUAGCGGUAAAAUGCGUAAAUAUAUGUAGGAACACCAGUGGCGAAGGCGGCUUGCUGGGUCGAUACUGACAUUGAGGCACGAAAGCGUGGGGAGCAAACAGGAUUAGAUACCCGGGUAGUC